rnacentral:rRNA from 1 species
GACGAACGCUGGCGGCGUGCCUAAUACAUGCAAGUAGAACGCUGAAGGAGGAGCUUGCUUCUCUGGAUGAGUUGCGAACGGGUGAGUAACGCGUAGGUAACCUGCCUGGUAGCGGGGGAUAACUAUUGGAAACGAUAGCUAAUACCGCAUAAUAGUAGAUGUUGCAUGACAUUUGCUUAAAAGGUGCAAUUGCAUCACUACCAGAUGGACCUGCGUUGUAUUAGCUAGUUGGUGGGGUAACGGCUCACCAAGGCGACGAUACAUAGCCGACCUGAGAGGGUGAUCGGCCACACUGGGACUGAGACACGGCCCAGACGCCUACGGGAGGCAGCAGUAGGGAAUCUUCGGCAAUGGACGGAAGUCUGACCGAGCAACGCCGCGUGAGUGAAGAAGGUUUUCGGAUCGUAAAGCUCUGUUGUAAGAGAAGAACGAGUGUGAGAGUGGAAAGUUCACACUGUGACGGUAUCUUACCAGAAAGGGACGGCUAACUACGUG